UCACAAUGGAUCAGCAAUCCUGAAAACUAUGCCAGAGGUGGGGUCCUCCUUUACUUCCUGGUUCACAGAAAACCAGGAUCCCAUGCUUCCCCAUGCACCUCAAGCCACUUUGACAGGUAGGUCCACCUGUCAAUCACUGGUUGCCACCAUAAUAUCAGUUCACUAAUUUUCCCUUUGCAGCAUAGCUUGAGUUCAACCUGGGUUUCAAAAGAAAGAUCACUGCUGAAACCAGGUUUGCAGCCACUUCCCAUCAGAUUACCUGUGGUGACUUGAAGUGCAAUGGAAAAACUUCAGAGUGAAUCUGAUCUGAGUGUAAGGAGCAUGCCUCAAGGCUUCCCAUCAUUCCUUUAUAGCCACACACCUCCCCAUCAUAUAUGUGAGGCAAGUGGGCAUAGCUGGAGGGAAAUGGCCUGGUGGACCAAAUUAGGGCCUGGUUGGGCCUACUUGGGUCUGUGGGGUAAUUAAGUCUGUGAACCAGAGGUCCCCCACCACUGCUCCAUGUUCAUAUACAUGCUUUUUUCUGUGGCGGAAGACAAUGACUACCAGCAAUAUGCUCAGUGAAAAGGAAGCAAGAGAGCAGCUUUUUGAGCUUUGAAAUGUUUGUCUCCAAUUGCUGCUUCCACCUACCCAUAAACACAGAUACCAAGAGGCCUCAUAAUUGCCGAAACCUAUUAUCAUCCUACUCAUUAAGAAUCCCCAAGCAAGUAACACUGUAAAUAAGUUAAAACCCAGAAAUGAGCAGGCAAUGCUCACUUAAGUUAACUCAGUAAAUCAAUAUUAUUUCAGCAAGUGUUUGAAAUGGUGGGGUUUUUUUGUGACAGGACAGAGAAGCAUGUACAUGAUGGGUCAGAGAAAGCCAAAAGAGCCCAAUGGGAUAUUUUGUGUGUGUGUGUGUGUGUGCAUUUCUCACUUUUCCAUUGAUUAAAAAGCACACAAAUAGCAAAGGGGAGAGAGUUUUGAGAGGCAGAUAGAGAAGCCUGGAGGGCCACAUUUAGCCCCCAGGCCAAGUUCUGCACCCCUGUCCAAAAUAAACUCAAUUAAAAACUGGGCCCCAUUCUGAAUUCCCAGUGAUCUAACCAGGAGCAUGACUGGUUCUGUUUGAUUUACAAUAUUUUUAUGCCGCUUUUCAUUCGAUUGAAUCCCAAAGCAUCUUAAAAAUAAUAAAUAGCAAUAAUAUGAUAGAACAUAAUAGAACAUCACAAACAUAGCAUAAAUCAUAGAAAAUAAUUUUAAAAAUUAUUGGUGAAACAAUACAAUCUAUGAAACAUGGUUAACGAAGAAAAAAGUAAAAAAGAAGAAGCUAAAAAUCACAAUUAAAGCAAAAGUCAUAUUAAAUUAUUAACAAAUCAAUUCAUAAUCUAUAAAACAAUAUCAACAAAAUAGCAAGCAGAAAUAAACUAGUCACUGUUAAGGUCACACACACUCUCCACACUCCCAUGACUCAUAAUACUUCACUCAGUUCUGCUCACUAACAUACAUAUAUCACAUAAUGCCUGUGGCAGCAACUUCUAGCAUCCUCUGUGAUGUUCCCAGGCCUUCCCCAGGCCUUGCCUUGGUACAAGGAGGGCUUUCAACACUGUAAGAUUCCAUUCCAUCAUUGGGAACUAAGGGAUAUGCAGUUCUCAUAAGCCCCAGUGUCCCUGGGUGCAGUCAGAUCUUCAGGCCCCACCACUACUAUAACCACCUGCAGCCCCUGAACAAGAACGUCCAGUGACUGAACUCUCCAGGAGCAGCAGCACAAAGGAGUCAGACUUGCUCCAUGAUAAUUCCCAAGUCGAGCACACCACCUGGAUUCUGCACCCUAUGUACAAAAUAUGAGGACGCACCACUGUCCUCAGACUCCUCUAGAGUGCUGAAGGACCCUGAGGGAGCAUUUCCCAACCAGCUCAUCCAUACUACUGUCUUCACCUCCAAGAAGGAGCCAGCAACUGCAGAGAAAAAUGCAGGUUCUUUAAGACAGCCAGAUACAGCAUUUGGGAGUGGGAUGGACUCUCCUGGUCAGCCUAACAAAAACCCUGGCAGUUACUGUAGACUAGUGCUGGGAUAAUGUGUAUCCUACCUUGGCCAUAUGAUUGUUAUCCAUGGUCCUGAAUGUAUACCAAGAAACUGGAUCAGUACUUGCAGAACUGUCCAUGGUGCUGAACCUUCCCCACUUCAAAUUAGCUGUGGCUCCCUGUGUUAUCUCUAACCCUCUCACCUGAGCUGUUGCCUCACUGGGAUGAUGUAUUCUGCUGCCAUCCCUUGCUUCUGGCAUGUUGAAAGUGGGGACGGAUGGCAAUGAGUGGAGAACCACAGGCCAAAAAUAUCCAUUAAGGACCACCUCCACCCAGCUUCAUAGAUAUCUGUGUCUGAUUUCAAAUAGAACUAGGACCAGAGCCAUGAAAUGCAAGCUCAACCCCAAUCCAUGCAUUUCAGAUUCUUUCCCAUCACUGAUUACUUUCUCAUCUCUGGGGGUGUUCUUAAAAGGAAAUGUGAGACAACUUACAAUUUAUUGAUUUAUUUUAAAAGUUACUGUACAGUGUCUUUGCCUUAGCAGACUAUGAUGAGCACACCAGAAUCUAGACUGCCUUAAAAAAAAUUAAAAAUACAACCUUAGCUCGCAGCCCCAUCCAUUUAAUUUGUUGGCAUUGAUUAAAAUGGUCUGCAAUGAUUAAUCAACCCGGGCUUUCAGUGACUGACCUGCUGAUUAAACUUAUUAAAACCUGCUGUUCUAACGUUACCAGCCACUAAAAUUAUCAAUGAGCCAUUUUCAUGCAUCAUCAGUGUAGCUCCCAUCCACUUCCUUCACAGAACCUGAUCCCUGGUCAAUCUUCUUAACUUUCUAUACCUGGUUCAUCACAAGAAGAGCUCCUUUCAGCAGAGGUCAGGCAAGUCCCCACCCAGUUGAACUGCUGGCCCCUAGUGAAAACUCCCCCCCCCCCGCCCCACAGGCAUUUAAAAUCAUUUCUAGUUUUCUAGUUAAUUUUUAACUGAUUUCAUCUCUAUUGCAUUUCUUAAGCUUAGAGAUAAUUGUAAUUCAGUGCUAUAUAAAUUGUAGAAAUAAUUAAUUAAAUGGAAAAUAAUUGUUUUCCCAGAAAUGCCUUUGCAGCUCGUAAAACUAUGCCAAAGCUUAAAAACAGAAGAAGGGAAAUACUAUGGGGUUAAGUUUACUAAAGAGUAGAUUAUGGUUGAACUUUUAGAGACACUCUUUUUUUCAAAAAAUGAAUAGAUUACAUGCCACUUAUUAUAUAUAGUCCAUCCAAAACAGCCUACAACAAUAGUGUGUGUGUAUGUGUGUGCGUGUGUUUACUAAACCUGAAAACAAAGCAGAUUCACAAGAAUAAAACAGAUUCCCUUAUGGGAUGGUGAGAGCCCAUGGCCUUCAACCAGAGGCUUGCCUACCCUCUGGUGGGGAUAUCUGACCUCCAGAUUGCUUGCAUUGGGCAGUGGCUGGGACUAGCUGACCUACAAGACCCCCGUCAACAUUGAUUCCAUGAUUCUAGAAAACUCACAUCAUCAUUCAUUGUCAUUUCAUUCUAUAGCAGUCUUCAGUAUACAAAAAGCCUUACUAUGACUGACUCAUCUGUUCUCGCAACAUGAGGCAAGGUGGUUAGACUUGCAGCUACUGCAUUGUGCAAAGAUGCCGAGAGAGCUUCCUAGCCAAGCAGGAAUUUGAAAAGGGGUCACCAAGCCCGCCCACCCCUCCUGUCCACUUCUGCUGGCCUUAUGGCAGCAGCUCGACUAGGAUUAUUACCUGCAGCCUCCCUCUGACGUUGAAGAGCUUUGACUUUCCUGCAUGGGAACUAAUAGCAUCUAUUUAAUCUGAUUUCCAGGGUGAGUCAGCAGCACGACACUGCAUCCCAGCAGACAGCGUUAGCAUCUGACCCCUAUGUCACAAACACUUAAGACCCAUAACGUAGCCUUGCUUGUGCUCCUAUCUGACAAGCAGCUGUCUGGCCUUGUGCACUCUUGCAUGCAGAUUCAGAUUUCUGUUCCUUUAAAUACUCCACCAUUUAGGUAUACACAAGAUCACUAUUUAAUUAUUGUUACAAAGAAAUUCAUAUGGAAUCACGUUUGCUUUCAAGUCCUAGACUCACAAUGAUAAAGAUGGAUACACCCAGCGCUUUUUUUAAGGAAAAAAGGUGGCAGUACUCAGAAUGAAGUUGUUUCAGUAAGUGCCACAUUUUUCACAUGGGGGGGGGGGGAGGAAAAGGUAGCUGGUACUGCAUACCCUGGAGCAGCCCCAGAAAAAAAGCACUGGAUACUGUCAUGGAAUUCUACUCAAUAUUGAUCCAGAGCAGAACGCCAACGUAUAGUUAGCAGAGUAACAACUUGAACACGUUGCAGGAUUCUCCAAAAAAUAGACCAGAGGCAAUUGUAUGCUUUACUGCUGCUGAAGGCAAAUGAGCAUAAAGGUCACAAAUCCAAUGUAUUCAGGGUUGGCACUGUCCAUAAGAAAUCCAGUUGCAGCCAACUUAACUUAAACUUACAAUAACUUACAAUAAGUCUAAACCUUAACAAUAUAUACAGAACGGGACGCGGGUGGCGCUGUGGGUAAAACCUCAGUGCCUAGGACUUGCCGAUCGUAUGGUCAGCAGUUCAAAUCCCCGUGGCGGGGUGAGCUCCCGUCUUUUGGUCCCAGCUCCUGCCCACCUAGCAGUUCGAAAGCACCCCUAAGUGCAAGUAGAUAAAUAGGUACCGCUUUAUGGUGGGAAGGUAAACGGUGUUUCCGUGUGCUGCGCUGGUGCUGGCUCGCCAGAGCAGCUUUGUCACGCUGGCCACGUGACCCGGAAGUGUCUCUGGACAGCGCUGGCUCCCGGCCUCUUAAGUGAGAUGAGCGCACAACCCUAGAGUCGGACACGACUGGCCCGUACGGGCAGGGGUACCUUUACCUUUAUCUUUACCUUUAUAUACAGAAUACCACACCAGAAGGAAAAGAGACAGAGAAAGUGAAAUCCAGACUCCUUCUGGCCCUGCUUUUAUAGUCAGCAUGACCUUGACAGAAAGAGAUAACAGAACCAGUUUAAACCAGCUGUACUCAGCUUCUCUGAAGGAAUAACCCAAACAUCAUGAACCUUCUGCUUGUUUCUUUCACACAGAGAAGCUUCUAGAAACUUCCAGAACCCUCUUGAAUUAAUUUAGAAUAGGAAAGAUCUCUACACAUCAGAUCAAUACUUUCUGCACUAAGAAAUGCAAACUGACAGAUACAUCUCCAUAUCCCUCUGCACACCCAUCUGCAUUGCGAAUACAUGCAUGAGGGAAGAGUUCUGAUCUUUUAUCUAUUUAUUACAUUUCUACACCACCUUUGCCUUCCAAGGAGCUCAAGGUGGUGUACAUGGUUAUCCCCCAUUUCAUCCUCACAACAACCUUGCAAGGCAAGUUAGGCUAUUAGAUGGUGACUGGCCCCAAGUCGCCCAGUGAGCUUCAUGGCUGGGUGGGGAUUCAAACCCUGGUCUCCCAGGUCAUAGUCCAACAUUCUAACCAUUACGCGACACGGGUACUUACUGCUUUUUAGCCAUCUAGAUUGGAUGUAUACUCAUUCAGGAUCCUGAAUGCAUGUGAAGUGUAAAUUAUUAAUUUUCAUGAAGUGAUCCUUGAGUGUGUAGCUUUUGUUAACACUCAGUUCACAUUUCUUUAAGGAAGAAACUGAAUCUGAAAAGAUAGGGCUUGCCUGAGGGCUAAACUACAAUAUUAAAAUUCCCAACCCUCCUCAUGCCAAAUUCUAUGGUUGCAUUUCAUGUAGCACUAAGGAGAUGGUUCCAAUCUUCUCUCUACUCUCCCUGCACACUGUUCUGGGUGUUCUUCUGACCCUCUAGAACAGAUAUGAGGAGGAUGUAGGGGGCAUGUGGAGGAGAAGAGGGAGGAAAGGCAUGUUGCACUAAUUGGAAUUGUGCUACCUUCCACUAGCACAAUGAUUUAAUGGAAUACUCCUCUAAAACUCCUGUAUCUACCAGCCCAUUAUUAUUACUCAUACCUGACUGUUCUGGCUUUAGAGUAUAUUGGGCUCAAAUGGGUCCCUCUUCAUGCGCCUCUUUGCUAAGCCAGAGAUGGGAAGCAUCUCAGAGAGUGACAGUUUACCAUCGCUGUUGCAAAGAUUUGCUGCCAAUGAGUCUCAAGCCUUUUUGGACCUUGAAUUUAUCUUUGUUCCUUGAGCCACAGUAUCAAAAUGCAUCCAAAUCUUUAACCUUCAUUUCUUUUAGUUAGGUGGAAUGUAAAUCUUAGAGGCGUGCACUCCCCCAAGAUUCACCUAAAAAAGGAGAAAAUGUUCUGUUUUUGCAUUGUUCUGUGCUUUCUCUGCUUUGCUCUGUAAUUUAGGUUCCAAACUACUUGUGUUCUGCUACAAUGGUCAAUCUAAAAUGACUAUGACUUCCCCCACUUUUGGCCAAAGCAGAUGAUAUUUUCAGGCACAAUACCCCCUCCAGAAUGAAUGACAUAUGCCAUAUUGUAGAACAGGUCCAUGUAUUUUUGUGGAGGAAGUAAAAGGGAUUCAUUUUCCUCCAUAAACCAUAAUAGGGCAAGACCUUUAUGAAGCCAGCCAACUCCAAAAUCCAUAUUAGUUUCCUGUUUUUGGUGUGGAAAAGGAGAAGGGUGUUGUCUCUUUCUUACCUUAAAAUAAUUAAGAGGUGGCCAAGUGGUAUGUAUUUUUGUUUCGUAUACAAGUUCCCAAAGGCAUCAUAAUGUGAUGCCAUCUAGAAUUUUUCCUAUAGAGUUCUGAAAAGCUCUGGGUUUUGUUUGUUGUUUGUUUUCUUUUGAAAGAUUUGUUUGUUUGAAAGAUUUUUUAAAAAAACAUCCUGAAUGAAACCUUUUCUUUAAAAAAUAAAAUUAAAAAAAUCCCUCAAUGUUGCACUUGAAUAAGUAGAUAAAUAAGUAGGUAAAAUUCCAGAGUUCUUCAGUGGUCUGCAGGCAACAUUUUGAACAGCCUCUCUUCUUGCAAAGCCCACAUACCUAGAGAAUCACAGGGAUAUAGGAAAACACAGAGCUCUAGGUGCAAAAACAAUAGCCUUUGUGGAAGCCCUUAACUGAUGGGUGGGAAGGAUUGAUGGUGCAUUUGAACUCAGGGAAUGGAGGAAAGUAUCCUGAAUCAUUCUGCUUCACCUAUUUCUCUCCCCCCCCCCCCACUUAUUGCACUUGAUCAGAGUAUGGUAGGGCUUCUUCUGCCAACAAAAAAAAUGAAUAGCCCUUAUAUCACACAAUUAAAUUGAAAUAACAUUGUAAGAAUAUUCUGCCCAUUUCCAACAUCCAAGCCUUGACUGAUUCAGCAUAUCUGCUUCUGCACUGAGCAGCAGCAGCAGAAGCAGCGAAAUAUUAUGAGACAACAAUUUGAAACUGAAAUACCUGAUGUUACUGGGAAAUGAGCACAUUUAUCUGCAUGGCAGAUUUGAAAGAAAUUCUCCCGCAGUGGCGUUCAAGCCAUAUGUGUAGUAAUUAGGCAUACGCUAAGCCAAAAUUUAAGGCUGUUUUCAAAAUUAACUGUAAGAACAAUAUUGAUGCAUCUUAUACAGUUCUUGUAUGUUCUCCUUAUGUUCUGUGGCACUGGCGUCCUUGAAACCUUGAAACAAAGAGCUUCCUUGCCGAAAGGAUCUACUGAUGCCAUGCUUAAGAAUAUAAAAGCCCUGCUAGAUCAGACCAGUGGUCCAUCAAGUCCAGCAUCUUCAUAUCACAAUGGCGAACCUGCUGCCUCUAGGAACCAACAGAGCUUGAAUACAGCAUCCCUUUUCCCCACUGUUCUUCCCAAAGAACUGGUCUUCAGUGGUAUACUGCUAGUAGUCCUUGAUACAGCCAUCCCCCAUGAAUGUGUCUAAUCCCUUUUCAUAUCCAUCAACACUAGCGGUCAUCACUACACACUGAGGAUCUGAUUCCAUGUCGGAGCCAGCCGUCACAAAUGGCACAGUUUAGCAUAAAAUAAAGACACAGAAAGCCAGCAAUAUUUUCAGAAUGGUAUGAGCAGCUCCUUUCGAACUUCUCUUCUCUCCCGUAACUUUUAUUAUCCUUUGUUCUCUCCUUUCGCAUGGCCGUUUGCCAAUGUCUCACAUUACCUACAUCCGGUCAUGGCUUAAACCCACCCAUCGCCUUAUAGGGUCAUGCACUUAAUACACUGCAAGGAACGGACAUGCAGGUCACUGAGGUCAGCGAGGCACCAGGUGGCGCCACGAGCCUUUUUCAUGACUUCCUGGCUCCCACAAUUCCAUAAGUUAACCAUGAAUUGUAGGGGAGAAAUAUUUUCUUCUGUCUAUCCUGAAGUCAGUUUCAUUUCAGUUAACAACAAUUUAAAACAUUUCAAAAUAAUUAAAUUUAACAGUAAAAGAGAUGAAAACAUAUCAAUAUCUGCAUACCUGGGUAGUCUUGCCUAAACAAAAUGUUUAAGGCAGGCACUGAAAAAAGGACAGCAGAGGCGUCUGCCUGAUGCCAAUAGGCAAGGAGUUACAAAAUGUAGGUGAUCACACACAAAAAGAUCGAUUUCUUACAACUGUGUGAGUGGAAAAGCUAUUCACGCCAUGCAUCAUUUUAAACACUUGAGCCAUGCCCCCCCCCAGCCAUUUUUUCUCCAAACUAAAAUGGGGCAAGAUUUUAGCUUUCCCUUGUACAGAAAGAGCUGCAUAUCCUGAUAAUUUUGUACCUUCUCCAGCUCUGCAGUAUCCUUUUUGAGAUGGAGUGACCAAAGUCAUUCAAAUUCAGUAGCAACACAGAUCCACACAAGGAUAUUAUGAUGCUGGCAGUUUUAUUUUCAUCCCCUUUCCUAAUAAUCCCUAGGAUGGAAUUUGAUUUUUCCACAGCUGCCGCACACUGAGUUUUCAGUGAGAUAUCCACCAGGACCCCAGAAUGUCUUUCCAGCAUGCAUAUUAGUAAAGUUUUAUUGCCCUGAUGUGUGCCACUUUGCACUUAUACUGAACUCUGUUUGUCAUUUUGUUGUCCACGCAACCAGUUGAGAGAGAUUCUAUUGAAGCAGUUGGCUGUCUUUGGUUUUUCACAUCCUCAAUAAUCCACAAAUUUGGCCAUUUCACUAUCCCCUAACUCUGGAUCCUUUAUGAGUUAGUUUGAAAGUAUGGAUCCCAAUACAAAACUCCAUAUGUUCAGUUCAAACAAUCUUGCUGUACUUGAAAUCCUCACACACUAAACUCACCCUAUGAGUCCACCUUAGAUUGUAAUGUGUUAGUUCUGAAAACACACUAAGCUUUGAAACCUUACAACGUUGUCCUGCAUUUGCAUCUAUUAGUCAGGUCUAGAAGAACUUGGUUCACAACGAUCCAGUCUUAUCUUCACAUCAAUUUAGGUCUCUUCCAAAUUCCUUUCUCUCCUUGAAAGCCAUCAGCAGCGAGAGUUAGUGGCACAAACUUCACUGCAGAAAGUGAAACACUGAAUUUGCUUCUCUCCCCCACCCUUAGUCUUUGUGAUACCAGUUGGUUUAAUUUCUCUUGACAUUUCUCCCAUAGCAGCAACAGCAGCAUGUCAAGACUAAUUAAACAAAAUGGCGGUCGAAUCCUAAAGAACAUACAUCUGCUGUGAUCUGCUGCUAACCCCAAAGCUGGGGAGUCUUUCUUAGAUCAUGGAGGGGAAAGGGCUGGAGAAGUGGCAGCAGUGGGGAUGAGUGGUGAAAUAAUUCCCCAGGAAAGAAAUCACGUUUGAUUGCUUCAUGUAUACAGAGCAUCCACAUCAACAGCAGAGUUCUGGCAAUGAAGUAAAACAGCUGGAGUUUUAGUGUUUAUCAUGCAAUCUGUGUAGAGAUUGCCAAAGUACCUCUUGGAAGUCCAAAAUGGCUACUUUGGGUGAGCCAGCUAUUGAAGUUUCACAUAAUUUCCAAAAUAUUGUUCAUUGCAGAAAGCAAUAUGUGGGGGAAAUCAACAAGACCCCUUUGGGGGAAAAACAUUCUGAGAUUCAGGUGUUUUAAAGUUGUUUGUGGUUGCUCUGGCAUUUUUAAUGUGUUUCAUAAUCACAGCCUCAUUCAGCCUCACAGCUCUGCAAGUGAGGUCAAUGCCAUUGCUAUCUCAAAGAUGGAAGGCUGAGGCUUAGAGAUUAAAUGACUUUGCUGAUUGGAUUUGAAUUGUGGCCUGCCGGAGGCAGCUAAGUCCUAUAUUCUCUUUCCAGAAUCACGGCGCCUCAAAGUAUAUCCUGUAUACAGAUAUCAAACCCGUUCCCGGAGGUGUAGAACCUCACUUGGCCAAUACAUUGGCAUGCAAACAUAUGGAGGAAAACCCCAAGAUUUGCAGAAGUACAAAAAAUGUGGAGGGGGGUGGAUCUGAAACAGCCAAAUGAAAACUGAGCAUGCUCAGUGGUCAAGGAAAGCUGACUGGCUGUUGCAGGAGGGAGGGUGAGUUAGAAAGUCAGCAGGGAGAGGAAAGGACACACAGUUUCCCUGAAAGAAGAUUUGCCUAAUUGGCAGGAACACUAAGCAGGAACACUCCACUCCAACGUGUUAAUGUAGGUCCCAUUUGCAGAAAGACAAACAGACAGAUAUGCCAGUCUUCAGCUUUGUAGUUAAACAUUUGCUCUCACAUAUAAUGCAGAAAUUAAAAGUUAGGGAAAUGUUGAGAAAAUGGAAUAAAUUGCAGUGUGAAUGAAACCAAAGACCUGUGAGAGCUCAAGGAAUACAGCCAUUUUCCAUCCUUGAAGUAAACAAACCAGGUUUUUUAGCCAUGAAUACGUUGAUUCCCUGAUCUUUUUUUUUUAAAAAAAAAGAAAAUAAUUACUGAUAUGUUGACUUGCUGAGAAAAGCUUUCAUGAGCUUUGUGUUGGGAAACGCCGAGGCCAAUGCCUCUCAACCAAUGCAGCUCCACCCAGGAUGAUUCAUCACUCCUGUGUCCCGUCGCACUGAUGUGAUCCAUAUCCAAGAACAUGAGCACACAACACUAGCAGUCCAAACAGAAGCUGAGCCUUGAGGUGUGACAUCUAAGCCUAAUUUAUUGUGUAUAAAAUCAAACAGAACAGAACAAAGAAAACAUAGCUCCUCUACUUCUUUCUGCCGGGGGGAGACAAGAACUGCAAAAGCAACACAGAACGGAACUUCCGUUCACAAGACUCCCACAAUCACUGCUGGAAUGCAAACACAGACAUGUGACAUGUAACAAUCCCACACAUCUGCAGCACGGAGGAAUGAAAUCCCCAACACUUUGUAGCUUCCCAGCAGCCUCUCCCUCAAAUUUCAUAAAAAGCACACUGUGCGGUUCUAUGAUCCAGCUUCUUCCAUUGCUCUUUCACCUGCCUGCCUCCGGACUUGGGAUAAGAGGACAUUCAGCCAGUCAAGCUACCUGUGAUUACUUAUGUCCACUUCAGAGGAUUUCUUUACGUACUUUGAGAGGUUUAUUAUGCAGAUUAUGGCAACGUCUGAAGAGCCCUGGGCUAACUUGUCCAUCUUGUCAGCUAGAGCACAGAUGAAUUAACUGGAGUGUCAUUUUCUAAUGACAAGGCUUCUGUGCCUCAUACUAAUGGUAGAGUCACUCCCCACAAAUGAUGUCGAGGAGCAAGCGUCAAACCUAUUUUCAAAAUAUUGAUUUCACGUCUGACCUUUAUUCAUUUCCAUACAUUUCCUGUCACAAUAAGAACACAGACAACUCUUAAGAGCUGAGGAAACAGACUCCAGCUUUAGGAAAUUGUUUGGUCCAUUUUGGAAAGAUGAAAGGAUGGAAGGGAGUAGAAUGGCAGAUUGAUUCCAUAUCAUUCAUGGUCCUCCAGGUGGCAAACAUGGGUGUUAUUCUGUUUUAUCUUGAAAACAUCCCUCUGAAGUUGUGAUUCACCAAAGACCACCUAGAAAACCUCAUGGAUGAGAAGAGGAUUUAAAUCCAGGUCUACCUCACCCCUAGGUCCAACUCCUUGGCUAGCGACUUAUGCAUCACCAAAGAAAGAAGAAAUGCAUCACCCCAAAAAUACAUCAAAAAGUGCAUAGAUUUGCAUAAAAUCUGCACAUGGCAUUCAAAACUGUUGGGGGGGGUGAAAGAUAAGAAGCCCCACCAUAACGCCGUCAUUUAAAACCAUAUUAUGAGGUCAAAUCACACCCCCUAAAAUGGAAACAAACACCCCUAUUUUGUGACCUGGUGACAUUUCAAUCCCCACAACCAUAUACCUUGGUUGUACCUCAGAGGUCAAACAGAAUCUGUUCCGGAAGUCCGUUCAACUUCCAAAAUGUUUGGAAACAAAGGGGCAGCUUCCGAUUGGCUGCAGGAAGCUCCUGUAGCCAAUCAGAAGCCGUGGAAGCUGUGUUGGAUGUUCCCUUCCGGGUUUGUGGCGUUCGGGAGCCAAAACGUUCCAGUCGCAAGGCAUUCGUCAACCAAGGUACAACUGUACGCACGGCAUUUUAAAGUGGAUUUAAGGCAUUCGAUGUGUGUGUGUUCUUCAUGUGAUGCCCACAACUUUCUCCUGAUCCAAGUAGUGGACUGCACUCCCCUGCUUGAAUUUGGAUUUACCUGAUCCACAGCCACCAUCCUGAAGCUUGACAGGUGGAGCCUGGGCGGCAGGCCGGGAUGGAGAAGCCUCCGCUCUGGUCGACCGCUUGGAAAUAAACGCUGACUGUGCCCGACCACAGCAAUGCAGUCAGCUGAAGAGCAGCCCACCCAGCCUCCCUGUUUUCUGUGGUUUUAAAAAGUAAAGUAAAGUGACCCUGUUUUACUUAUAUACUAAUUCUGCUUUGCUUC